rnacentral:rRNA from 1 species
GACGAACGCUGGCGGCGUGCUUAACACAUGCAAGUCGAGCGGUAAGGCCCUUUCGGGGGUACACGAGCGGCGAACGGGUGAGUAACACGUGGGUGACCUGCCUCUAGCUCUGGGAUAAGCCUGGGAAACUGGGUCUAAUACCGGAUAUGACUCCAUGACGCAUGUCGUGGGGUGGAAAGCCUUGUGCGGCUGGGGAUGGGCCCGCGGCCUAUCAGCUUGUUGGUGGGGUGAUGGCCUACCAAGGCGACGACGGGUAGCCGGCCUGAGAGGGCGACCGGCCACACUGGGACUGAGACACGGCCCAGACUCCUACGGGAGGCAGCAGUGGGGAAUCUUGCGCAAUGGGCGAAAGCCUGACGCAGCGACGCCGCGUGAGGGAUGACGGCCU